UGGGGAAUAUUGCACAAUGGGCGCAAGCCUGAUGCAGCCAUGCCGCGUGUAUGAAGAAGGCCUUCGGGUUGUAAAGUACUUUCAGCGAGGAGGAAGGCGUUGUGGUUAAUAACCGCAACGAUUGACGUUACUCGCAGAAGAAGCACCGGCUAACUCCGUGCCAGCAGCCGCGGUAAUACGGAGGGUGCAAGCGUUAAUCGGAAUUACUGGGCGUAAAGCGCACGCAGGCGGUCUGUCAAGUCGGAUGUGAAAUCCCCGGGCUCAACCUGGGAACUGCAUCCGAAACUGGCAGGCUAGAGUCUUGUAGAGGGGGGUAGAAUUCCAGGUGUAGCGGUGAAAUGCGUAGAGAUCUGGAGGAAUACCGGUGGCGAAGGCGGCCCCCUGGACAAAGACUGACGCUCAGGUGCGAAAGCGUGGGAAGCAAACA
rnacentral:rRNA from 1 species